GACGAACGCUGGCGGCGUGCCUAAUACAUGCAAGUCGAGCGAAUGACGAGAAGCUUGCUUCUCUGAUUUAGCGGCGGACGGGUGAGUAACACGUGGGCAACCUGCCCUACAGAUCGGGAUAACUCAGGGAAACCUGGGCUAAUACCGGAUAAUCCUUCGAAUCACAUGUUUUGAAGUUGAAAGGCGCUUCGGCGUCACUGUAGGAUGGGCCCGCGGUGCAUUAGCUAGUUGGUGGGGUAACGGCCUACCAAGGCAACGAUGCAUAGCCGACCUGAGAGGGUGAUCGGCCACGUUGGGACUGAGACACGGCCCAAACGCCUACGGGAGGCAGCAGUAGGGAAUCUUCCACAAUGGACGAAAGUCUGAUGGAGCAAAGCCGCGUGAGUGAAGAAGGUCUUCGGAUCGUAAAGCUCUGUUUAAAGGGACGAAUGGUUAGUAUGUGAAUAAUGUAUUGACAUGACGGUACCUUUGGAGGAAGCCACGGCUAACUACGUGCCAGCCGCCGCAGUAA
rnacentral:rRNA from 1 species